UAAAUUGCUUCACAUCGAAGUGGACAUUCUGAAAGUCUGAGAACACGUGGUUUAUAUUUGCAGCUCUUGACAACUGGGAAAAGGAGAGCUCUGUGUUCACCUGUUACUGAUGUUAGUUAAAACAUGGGCUUCCAGCAGGGAAAACAAGCAGGAAGAGCCAGUAAGAGAGUCAUUAUUUCAGAUCUCACUCACAGAACCAGAGGAUGACCACCUCCUCAAAACUAAGUAGACACAAAGAAAAUAACUCUCCUCCCAAUAUUGAGGAGGAAAACAUCCCCUUUGAAGAAGACAGCAGGACCCUGCUGAGACAAGCUUAAGGCUGCUGGUAUUCCACAUGGAAUAUAUGACUCUUUCUCUAUACAGUACAACUCUCUUUAUAUAAUUCUGCUCUGCAUGAAUUUCUGACUACCUCACAAAUUAAAGGAGAAAGUGAUCAUACUUGGAAGUCAGUAAUUUCAUCUGCCCCAAGGAGUUGUUUCACAGCUAGCAAAAUACUGACUCACUUUUAACUCUUGUUAGUAGCAGGGGUCUUGUUCUCGCCUUCCAAUUCUUCCACUCCCGCCUGUGUCAUGAGAUCGGCUAUGUUCUUCUCCAGGUCAUCUAUGCGACAGCUCAUGUCAUCAAGUUCCUGGAGUUAAGGACUAUGACUGCAAUCCGUUACUCAUUAGGGUUGAAUAUUUUAAUUUGAUUGGGAGUUUUUACAGCUCUGCUCAAGCUCUUUUGGUCACUUCCAAUUCAUCUUACAAAUCCCACCUGAUUUCAAAUAAAGGAUAUUUCUUCCAA